GCAAGUCGAGGGGUAAGGCUCAUUUCGGUGAGUACACGACCGGCGCACGGGUGCGUAACGCGUAUGCAACCUACCUUUAACAGUGGGAUAGCCCGAAGAAAUUCGGAUUAAUACCACAUAAUAUUAUUGAUUGGCAUCAAUUAAUAAUUAAAACUCCGGUGGUUAAAGAUGGGCAUGCGUGACAUUAGAUAGUUGGUGAGGUAACGGCUCACCAAGUCUACGAUGUCUAGGGGUUCUGAGAGGAUGAUC
rnacentral:rRNA from 1 species